ensembl:lncRNA
UCUCAGUGCCAUUUGCAGUAAUACCUGUUCACAAAAAGCUCUGCAGCAUUUCCCCACCCCGAUGGGAGCGGAGCACAAAGGCCUUCCCAUGGCGAGAGCUGAGCAGGAGGGACGGCACCAGGAGCUCCAUGCAGCCUCACCACUGUAUGUGCCCCGGACAGAUGGAGCUUUCUGCACAGGGAGUGAUGGAAUAAGCCAGAUAGAUGGCAGAAUUCGAAGCAUAUUUGGUUUGAACCUCUGAGAUGCGGAGCUGUGCUGUGGAAUGCCAAAGCAAAGCUGUCCCAGAAUUGACCUGAAACAACAUCUUCUAAGUUCUGCUGUAGUUCUGCAAGGUCAGUCCACAGGUUUUCAUUUGCUCCACGGCCUGUGUUUGGUUUAGUUGGGUUUUUUCCCCUCUAAAAAGCAAACUGUGAAAUGAAUAUUGAGCCUCAUGGGUUCUGAAAUACUUCACUGUUUCCUAUUUUGCAGUCAUGAGGACCCUUUUUGCCCCAUGAAAGUGGGGUCUGUUAUCUGGUCCAAACAAAGCAGUUCUGCAUUAUUCUGACGGCCAAAACAUAAUCAUGAAGUGAGCUGAAAUCAGAUUUUCUUCAGUGGAUUACCAAGAGGCAAAUUUAAAAUGAUAUUACAAAUAAUACCUCAUAAUUGCAAUGUGAAUGAUGAGCCCCCUUAAUCAUGCCUCCAGCUAUGUUUGUUAAUAAGAAAACAAUGUAGAGCAGUGUUGUGACAUUUUUCUCAUUAUUUUUAAUGUAGCCCUCAGUUUUCAGGCCACAUUUUCAGCUGGAGCAAAUAGCCUUCAUCGCCUCCAAUACAAAUAGGCUGCUUUGCACCAGCCAAGUCUCUGACCUGGUUUUGCUUUAAAAAAAACUCUUCACCCCCAAAAGUAGGGAAGGAGAGCAGACCUUCAGAAUGCGGAAUUCUGGUUCAUUUCAAUUAAAACUCCGUGCAUUAAUCAUGUAUUUGACACGCUGGACGUUCCUAAUUAACAUCCAGCUUUAAACCACAUGUGCUUCAGCCUGUGUUCAAAUGAUGGAGCUGCACAGGUAACGUCAGGAAAACCGUGAGCAGAUGGCAGAGCACAGCUGAGUGGAAAUUUGGGUGAGGUGUUUGUCCAUGCUAAGCAAAGCUGAGGCCUGAGAAGCAGUAGUGGCAUGGGGCAGGGCUGUGGCCAGCACAGUGGGGAUGUGAGCGUGUCCCACCAGUUGGGUGCCAGCACCAGGGUCCUGGGCUGGAGGAAGGAUUGUAGAAUCAUAGAAUGGCCUGGGUUGAAAAGGACCACAAUGCUCAUCCAGUUCCAACCC